CAUAGGCAUACGGGCUUUCAUUUUCGUAGCUGGGAAGGCUGACUUUUACCCAUAUUUAAACGAAAAUGUCCGAAUCUGGAAAAAAAUCAGUUUCUCUGCAGUGAUGGAUACUAUUAACUCUCUCUUGUACCUGUCUGUGGUGGCGAGUUCGUGGUCAGUGGGCUGUGCUCAGACAAGGACGGAAUUUAUUAAAGCUCUUUUGAUGGAUUACGACAACAAGGUCACUCCCACUUUUGACAAAGUUUUUCAGCUUGUUUGAAAAGUACUUCUCUGAAGUGAAACAAACCCAUGGUGUUGACAGCAGGUUGAGUGAUCGCAAACAAUUCCACUGGUACCAUCGUCUUCUAUCAUACCACAUUCAUCUAACGGAAGGCGCAGAAACCAGUCCAGCGAGGAACUGCGAUCGCUAGCCCUUCUAAAGAUGCUUCCGGUGGUGCAUGAAUUCCGAGCCUGAUUACACCCAGAUAGUUUGAACUCCUGGUGACAACCUAAUAUAUAUAUUUCUUUAAUAACUCCUUUGCCAUCACAAGGCUUGAGAAUUUAUUUGAUAAAAACAAAUUAGCCUUCAAACAUGGAUCUAUGCAAGAAAACAAUAUGCGAUCUCUGUUCGCCUGAGGAACCAGACUAUGUACUGCUAAAUAAGGCCAGCAUGUACCCACCAACUCUGUCACCGAGGCGUGUACAAUAUUUUAUUGAUGAGUCUUGAUAA